rnacentral:rRNA from 1 species
GCUUGAGGAUGGGCCCGCGACCUAUCAGCUAGUUGGUGAGGUAACGGCUCACCAAGGCAAAGACGGGUAGCUGGUCUGAGAGGACGACCAGCCACACUGGAACUGAGACACGGUCCAGACACCUACGGGUGGCAGCAGUCGAGAAUUUUUCACAAUGGGCGCAAGCCUGAUGGAGCGACGCCGCGUGGGGGAUGAAGGGCUUCGGCUCGUAAACCCCUGUCAGUUGCGAACAAACCUCUUGGCCUAACACGUCAAGAGUUGAUGGUAGUGACAGAGGAAGGGACGGCUAACUCUGUGCCAGCAGCCGCGGUAAUACAGAGGUCCCGAGCGUUGUUCGGAUUUACUGGGCGUAAAGGGUGCGUAGGCGGUUGGGUAAGUCUGAUGUGAAAUCCCCGGGCUCAACCCGGGAACGG